UUUGAAAAAUGAGGCCUCAGU
ensembl:piRNA 21ur-10228 ncRNA